GACGAACGCUGGCGGCGUGCCUAAUACAUGCAAGUCGAGCGAACAGACGAGGAGCUUGCUCUUCUGACGUUAGCGGCGGACGGGUGAGUAACACGUGGAUAACCUACCUAUAAGACUGGGAUAACUUCGGGAAACCGGAGCUAAUACCGGAUAAUAUAUUGAACCGCAUGGUUCAAUAGUGAAAGACGGGUUUGCUGUCACUUAUAGAUGGAUCCGCGCCGCAUUAGCUAGUUGGUAAGGUAACGGCUUACCAAGGCAACGAUGCGUAGCCGACCUGAGAGGGUGAUCGGCCACACUGGAACUGAGACACGGUCCAGACUCCUACGGGAGGCAGCAGUAGGGAAUCUUCCGCAAUGGGCGAAAGCCUGACGGAGCAACGCCGCGUGAGUGAUGAAGGUCUUCGGAUCGUAAAACUCUGUUAUUAGGGAAGAACAAAUGUGUAAGUAACUAUGCACGUCUUGACGGUACCUAAUCAGAAAGCCACGGCUAACUACGUG
rnacentral:rRNA from 1 species